rnacentral:tmRNA from 1 species
GGGGGUGUACUGGUUUCGACGGGGGAUGAAUUGGCAGGGAUAGCGAGCCGGGGUUCCAUCAGCCCGUAAUACGGUGGGCCUUAUAACAAACGGCAACAAUAACUACGCCUUAGCUGCUUAAUCGCGGCUAACCUCCUGCCCGCUGCUCCCGCGGUGCGGGGCCAGGGGGUCAAAAAAGCGGGAUACCCGAUCACCAAUUCUCGGAGGUGUCAGGGGAAGUUCAUCGAGAUA